GCUCUUACCUGGCAGGGGCAAUACCACGUUAAAGGAGGUGGUUUGCCCAAAGCGAGGCUCAGCCAUUGCACUAGGGCUGUGCUGAUCUUUGCGAAUUCCCCAAACCUUCACUGCAUAAUUUCUGAUAGCAGGGGACUGGGUUCGUGCACAUCUCCCCUU